rnacentral:ncRNA from 1 species
GCCAUUGAAGGGCAAGUCAGCUGAAAAGCUGAACACGCAAAGCUUCAGGUCUACAGGUAAAUCAACAAUUUACCCACGACGGCUGAGCUACCAUC